GAUGAACGCUGGCGGCGUGCCUAAUACAUGCAAGUCGAGCGAACGGACGAGAAGCUUGCUUUUUUGAUGUUAGCGGCGGACGGGUGAGUAACACGUGGAUAACCUACCUAUAUGACUGGGAUAACUUCGGGAAACCGGAGCUAAUACCGGAUAAUAUUUCGAACCGCAUGGAUCAAAAGUGAAUGACGGUCUUGCUGUCACUAAUAGAUGGAUCCGCGCUGCAUUAGCUAGUUGGUAAGGUAACGGCUUACCAAGGCAACGAUGCAUAGCCGACCUGAGAGGGUGAUCGGCCACACUGGAACUGAGACACGGUCCAGACUCCUACGGGAGGCAGCAGUAGGGAAUAUUCGGCAAUGGGCGAAAGCCUGACGGAGCAACGCCGCGUGAGUGAUGAAGGUCUUCGGGUCGUAAAGCUCUGUUAUUAGGGAAGAACAGCUGUGUAAUUAACUGUGCAUAUCUUGACGGUACCUAAUCAGAAAGCCCCGGCUAACUACGUG
rnacentral:rRNA from 1 species